AUUGAACGCUGGCGGCAUGCUUUACACAUGCAAGUCGAACGGUAACAGGCCGCAAGGUGCUGACGAGUGGCGCACGGGUGAGUAAUGCAUCGGAACGUGCCCAGUCGUGGGGGAUAACUACUCGAAAGAGUAGCUAAUACUGCAUACGAUCUAUGGAUGAAAGCGGGGGACCGUAAGGCCUCGCGCGAUUGGAGCGGCCGAUGUCAGAUUAGGUAGUUGGUGGGGUAAAGGCUCACCAAGCCAACGAUCUGUAGCUGGUCUGAGAGGACGACCAGCCACACUGGGACUGAGACACGGCCCAGACUCCUACGGGAGGCAGCAGUGGGGAAUUUUGGACAAUGGGCGCAAGCCUGAUCCAGCAAUGCCGCGUGCAGGAAGAAGGCCUUCGGGUUGUAAACUGCUUUUGUACGGAACGAAACGGCUCUGGUUAAUACCCGGGGCUAAUGACGGUACCGGAAGAAUAAGCACCGGCUAACUACGUG
rnacentral:rRNA from 1 species